rnacentral:lncRNA from 1 species
CCUUUAGGGAUGUGUGGAGGAGGGGGGUCCAUCUUAUCUUCUAGGAUGUGCUGUGCCGGCCGACAGGUGAGGGCCGGUUGGAUAUCUACUCAUUAGUGGUCAAGCAUGAUGCUUUGAUUGCUAGAUAUGUGGCGCGAUUCUUACUAGAGCCAUGAGUCCUUUGGAGCUCGAUGAUGAGACCCAAGUAUGGGUCUUGGACUAUCGAAGUUGAUAUUUGCGGCCCC